rnacentral:rRNA from 1 species
GGUGGCGAGUGGCGAACGGGUGAGUAAUGUAUCGGAACGUGCCCAGUAGCGGGGGAUAACUACGCGAAAGCGUAGCUAAUACCGCAUACGCCCUACGGGGGAAAGCAGGGGAUCGCAAGACCUUGCACUAUUGGAGCGGCCGAUAUCGGAUUAGCUAGUUGGUGGGGUAACGGCUCACCAAGGCGACGAUCCGUAGCUGGUUUGAGAGGACGACCAGCCACACUGGGACUGAGACACGGCCCAGACUCCUACGGGAGGCAGCAGUGGGGAAUUUUGGACAAUGGGGGAAACCCUGAUCCAGCCAUCCCGCGUGUGCGAUGAAGGCCUUCGGGUUGUAAAGCACUUUUGGCAGGAAAGAAACGUCAUGGGUUAAUACCCCGUGAAACUGACGGUACCUGCAGAAUAAGCACCGGCUAACUACGUGCCAGCAGCCGCGGUAAUACGUAGGGUGCAAGCGUUAAUCGGAAUUACUGGGCGUAAAGCGUGCGCAGGCGGUUCGGAAAGAAAGAUGUGAAAUCCCAGAGCUUAACUUUGGAACUGCAUUUUUAACUACCGGGCUAGAGUGUGUCAGAGGGAGGUGGAAUUCCGCGUGUAGCAGUGAAAUGCGUAGAUAUGCGGAGGAACACCGAUGGCGAAGGCAGCCUCCUGGGAUAACACUGACG